CUCAGUUCGGAUUGGAGUCUGCAACCCGACUCCAUGAAGCUGGAUUCGCUAGUAAUCGCGCAUCAGCCACGGCGCGGUGAAUACGUUCCCGGGCCUUGUACACACCGCCCGUCAAGCCAUGGAAGCCGGGGGUGCCUGAAGUGCGCUGCCGCAAGGAGCGCCCUAGGGUAAAACCGGUGACUGGGGCUAAGUCGUAACAAGGUAUC
rnacentral:rRNA from 1 species